rnacentral:antisense_RNA from 1 species
GUACAAAGAUCAACAUGAUAAGACCAGGUAAUGCCAAGGCUAAUGCCCAUUCCCCCCAAGUCAUGCUAAGGCCAGUAAUUUUUGUUACGAAGUCUAAAGCUAACACAUUAGGAGCCAUAGCUGUUAAGAACAUAAAGGACGUAAUCUUUGUUACGAAGUAACCAUUCAUCAAGAUAAAGGAACCGCCGCGUUUUGCAGUAUCACCAGGGUAAGAACCGAUAGAUUCUGCAAUGGAUAAGUU